rfam:Cucumis sativus cultivar 9930 chromosome 5, whole genome shotgun sequence.
UGAGAAACAAGGGAGCUCUCUUCAGUCCAGUCCAAGGCAGUUUUCUCGGUUGUUACUUAGCUGCUGACUCGUUGGCUCAAUAACUGAUCAACUGAUAUAUUAGCUUGAACAAUGAUGUGUUUCUGAACCAACGAUGCAGGAGCCAAGUUCAGCCAUGGCUGUCACGUCUUGGACUGAAGGGAGCUCCCUCACCUUCCACU